rnacentral:sRNA from 1 species
GCUGGGUGUGGUGGUGCACACCAGUAAUCCCAGUGACUCAGGAGGCUGAGGCAGGAGGAUAACAAGUUUGAGGCCAGCUGUGGCAACUUAGCAAGACCUGGUCUCAA